GACGAACGCUGGCGGCGUGCUUAACACAUGCAAGUCGAACGGAAAGGCCCUGCUUUUGUGGGGUGCUCGAGUGGCGAACGGGGGAGUAACACGUGAGUAACCCGUCCUUGACUGUGGGAGAACUUCAGGAAACAGGGGCGAAUACCGGAUAGGAGCUCCUGCAGCACGGGGGGGAUUGGAAAGAUUCGGCGGUUGCGGAUUGGCUCGAGGCUUAUCAGCUGGUUGGUGGGGUCGUAGCGUACCAAGGCUUUGACGGGUAGCCAGCCUGAGAGGGUGACCGGCCACAUUCCGACUGAGAUCCGGCCCAGGCUCCUUCGCGCGGCAGCCGUGAGGAUUAUUGCGCAAUGCGCCGUAGCCUGAUACAGCCACGCCACCUGCAGGAUGACGGCCUUCGGGUGGUCAACCGCUUUCGUCUCUGAACCGUGCGUGACGGUAAUGGGUCAAAAAGCACCGGCUAACUACGUG
rnacentral:rRNA from 1 species